GUGUAUUCCUUUUUGUUUGGAGUUCUAAUGAUAAUAAUAAUAAUAAUAAUAAUAAAAUAUUUCAAUAUAUUGUGGGAAUAAUAGAGAAGAUUAAUAAAUUUAGAACCUAGCUUCUUUAUUCAUAUGCUUCAUAAGCAGUAUUACAUAGAACGGAAUAUCAAAAAUACAUACAAGCGAUAGAUCGAUAUCCACAUUAUUUAGAAAGCCAGGUUAAGCAUAAUUAAUUAUGCAUCAGUAGUACUCUUCUGGACUUUCUUGAAGACAACCAUUAAAGGCU